rnacentral:rRNA from 1 species
UACGUAGGGUGCAAGCGUUAUUCGGAAUUACUGGGCGUAAAGCGUGCGCAGGCGGUUUUGUAAGUUUGUCGUGAAAGCCCCGGGCUCAACCUGGGAAUUGCGAUGAAGACUGCAAGGCUUGAAUCUGGCAGAGGGGGGUAGAAUUCCACGUGUAGCAGUGAAAUGCGUAGAGAUGUGGAGGAACACCGAUGGCGAAGGCAGCCCCCUGGGUCAAGAUUGACGCUCAUGCACGAAAGCGUGGGGAGCAAACAGG